UACGAAGGGAGCUAGCGUUACUCGGAAUCACUGGGCGUAAAGCGCAUGUAGGCGGAACUACAAGUCAGGGGUGAAAUCCCAAGGCUCAACCUUGGAAUUGCCUUUGAAACUGUAGUACUUGAGUAUGGUAGAGGAUAGUGGAAUUUCCAGUGUAGAGGUGAAAUUCGUAGAUAUUGGAAAGAACACCAGUGGCGAAGGCGGCUAUCUGGACCAUAACUGACGCUGAGAUGCGAAAGCGUGGGGAGCAAACAGG
rnacentral:rRNA from 1 species